GCGGGACAAUUUCGCGCCGCUCUUAAAACGGUGAUUAUUUUUGUGAAAGUGCUUUCCUGAUUAUUUCCAGCCCUUUUUUAAAACUAUUGGGAUAUUUACCCCCAUUCUGGUGGAGGCGCCGGGUGAUAAGAAAAAUCUUUAGUGCAAGAAAUCGACUCUUUGGGGUGAAGCUGUACAAGAUCUACAAGUAUAGCCAAAUUCCCGUGUUGGACUCCGACAGGAAAUGGCCU